GUUUAAGCCGCCGCGGUAAUACAGAGGGUGCGAGCGUUGUCCGGAAUCACUGGGCGUAAAGGGCGCGUAGGUGGCUAGGUAAGCGUGUGGUGAAAGUCCGGGGCUCAACCCCGGAUCUGCCGUGCGAACUGCCAAGCUCGAGCAAUGUAGAGGCGGGUGGAAUUUCGGGUGUAGCGGUGGAAUGCGUAGAUAUCCGAAAGAACACCGGUGGCGAAGGCGGCCCGCUGGGCAUUUGCUGACACUGAGGCGCGACAGCGUGGGGAGCAAACAGGAUUAGAUACCCCAGUAGUCC
rnacentral:rRNA from 1 species